UAUUUUGAGUAUUGUUAUACGGUGCAAGUUCACGUCAUAGCCUAUAUCCGGUGUUUCAGCUAAAAGUACUGAUCUUUCGAGGUAAGGGAUAUUAUUUUUUUUCGUAAUGAUAUUAUUUCUUCAAUAUCAUUAUGCUGAAAUAUUGAUCUGAAGUUUUUAUCAAAUUUGGAACUUUUGGUGUCGAAGUUACUAUUCACGUAUACGGCACUAUUCACGUA
rnacentral:lncRNA from 1 species